ACGAAGGGUGCUAGCGUUGUUCGGAAUCACUGGGCGUAAAGCGUGCGUAGGCGGCUUUGCAAGUCAGGGGUGAAAGCCCACAGCUCAACUGUGGAAUUGCCUUUGAAACUGCAUGGCUGGAGUGUCGGAGGGGAUAGCGGAAUUCCUAAUGUAGUGGUGAAAUACGUAGAUAUUAGGAGGAACACCGGUGGCGAAGGCGGCUAUCUGGACGACAACUGACGCUGAGGCACGAAAGCGUGGGGAUCAAACAGGA
rnacentral:rRNA from 1 species